rfam:Bradyrhizobium manausense strain BR3351 contig1941, whole genome shotgun sequence.
GUCACGGCAUCGUUAGCAGGAAUCACAGGAUCGCCGCUUUUCCGCCCACCGCCCGCCGCCCUGCAUUGCGAAAAGACUGGUGUGCGUUGACCCGGUCCUUUCGGUUCCGGAUUCCUCAGCCCCCAGCCCCCCGGGGUCGAACAGGAUCGGGUCUGUACGCGCGACAAGGAGGGCCAACGCAAGUUGGUCCUUUU